GACAGAGGUGCCGAGCGUUAGGCGGAAUCACUGGGCUUAAAGCGUGUGUAGGCGGGCGGGCAAGUACCUCGUGAAAUCCCAGGGCUCAACCCUGGAACUGCCUUUAAUACUGGCAAUCUCGAGUCCGAGAGAGGUGAGUGGAAUUCCGAGUGUAGAGGUGAAAUUCGUAGAUAUUCGGAAGAACACCAGUGGCGAAGGCGACUCACUGGACACGUAUUGACGCUGAGGUGCGAAAGCGUGGGGAGCAAACAGG
rnacentral:rRNA from 1 species